GCCUACGUGGUGUAGUGAUCAGCAGGCUCGACGCGUAUUCGAGAGGUCCGUGGUUCGAGUCCAGGCGAAGGCA
rfam:Stegodyphus mimosarum contig62609, whole genome shotgun sequence.